GGCCGGUUUAGCUCAGUUGGUCAGGUAGUGGUGUUGAUAAUGCCAAGGUCAUGGGUUCAAUCCCCAUACUGGCCA